rnacentral:rRNA from 1 species
UACGUAGGGGGCGAGCGUUGUCCGGAUUCAUUGGGCGUAAAGCGCGCGCAGGCGGCUUGGAGAGCCCGGCGUGAAAGCCCCCAGCUCAACUGGGGGAGGCCGUCGGGGACCUUUAGGCUGGAGGCCGGUAGGGGAGAGUGGAAUUCCCGGUGUAGUGGUGGAAUGCGUAGAGAUCGGGAGGAACACCAGUGGCGAAGGCGACUCUCUGGACCGGUCCUGACGCUCAGGCGCGAAAGCGUGGGGAGCGAUC